CGGGGUGCAGCAGGCGCGAAAACUUCACAAUGGGGGAAAUCCCGAUGAGGGAAUUCCAAGUGCUAGCACUAUGUGUUAGCUGUUCUUUUGUCUAAAAAACAGAAGAAGUAAGGGCCGGGUAAGACGGGUGCCAGCCGCCGCGGUAAUACCCGCGGCCCGAGUGGUGGUCGAUAUUAUUGAGCCUAAAACGUCCGUAGCCGGUCUUGUAAAUCCUUGGGUAAAUCGGCCAGCUUAACUGUCCGAAAUCCGGGGAGACUGCAAGACUUGGGAUCGGGAGAGGUCAGAGGUACUUCUGGGGUAGGGGUAAAAUCCUGUAAUCCUGGAAGGACCACCGGUGGCGAAGGCGUCUGACUAGAACGAAUUCGACGGUGAGGGACGAAGCCCUGGGGCGCAAACGGGAUUAGAUACCCCGGUAGUCCAGGGUGUAAACGCUGCGGGCUUGGUGUUGGGGGUCCUUUGUGGGCGCCCAGUGCCGGAGAGAAGUUGUUAAGCCUGCUGCUUGGGGAGUACGUCCGCAAGGAUGAAACUUAAAGGAAUUGGCGGGGGAGCAC
rnacentral:rRNA from 1 species